rnacentral:sRNA from 1 species
GCUCCAGCAGCUGAUGUACAUGACCGUCCUCAACCCUCCUCGGCCUUCUCCGCUCUCUCUCUCCGUACGCCGCCGCGGAGCAGGCAGCUUCUUGCCCUGCGAGACGCCGGCGCGUUGGCCUUGGCCGCCUUGUGGANGGACCGCAGCGCGUAGUUCCAGCGGCAGAGUCCGCCCUGGUCCUUGAGCGCCUCCACUGCGCCCACGCUCAUCGCCACCAUCCAAGACGCCUUCGCUGCACCCGCCAUUGGAUCGAUCUCUUCUUUCUUGCUGAGAAUUGGACCGGAUUGUUUGUGAUUUCUUCUUUUGGUUUGCAGUGAACUAUUGUAUGCUGUGUUGAGGAUGAGGAGGAAGGAGAGGGGCGGGUUAUAUAGAGGAGGAGGGCAGGAGGCUGUGGAGAGGAGAAGGACGGGGUUGGGGCGAAACAGGAGGCGCCGCGCGUUGGUUUCCCAGUAUACCGGGUGCUCUGCUCUGCUUGAUUAGGC